AUUGAACGCUGGCGGCAUGCCUAACACAUGCAAGUCGAGCGGAUGAAGGGAGCUUGCUCCUGGCUUCAGCGGCGGACGGGUGAGUAAUGCCUAGGAAUCUGCCUGGUAUUGGGGGAUAACGUCCGGAAACGGGCGCUAAUACUGCAUACGUCCUUAUGGUGAACGUGGGGGUUCUUCGGACCUCACGCUUUCUGCUGAGCCUAGGUCGGAUUAGCUAGUUGGUUGGGUAAAGGCCUACCAAGGCGACGAUCCGUAACUGGUCUGAGAGGAUGAUCAGUCACACUGGAACUGAGACACGGUCCAGACUCCUACGGGAGGCAGCAGUGGGGAAUAUUGGGCAAUGGGCGAAAGCCUGAUCGAGCAAUGCCGCGUGUGUGAAGAAGGUCUUCGGAUCGUAAAGCACUUUUAGUUGGGAGGAAGGGCAGUAAGUUAAUACCUUGAUGUUUUGACGUUACCAACAGAAUAAGCACCGGCUAACUACGUG
rnacentral:rRNA from 1 species